UACGUAGGGUGCAAGCGUUGUCCGGAAUUAUUGGGCGUAAAGAGCUCGUAGGCGGUUUGUCGCGUCGGCUGUGAAAACCUGGGGCUCAACCCCGGGCCUGCAGCCGAUACGGGCAAACUAGAAUUCGGUAGGGGAGACUGGAAUUCCUGGUGUAGCGGUGAAAUGCGCAGAUAUCAGGAGGAACACCGGUGGCGAAGGCGGGUCUCGGGGCCGAUAUUGACGCUGAGGAGCGAAAGCGUGGGGA
rnacentral:rRNA from 1 species